CUAAAAAUACCUAAUAAAUCAAAGGCGGGUCUCCUCCAAAAUUGCUCCUCCAGUUACUCCCAAAAUCACCUUCAAAUCAGAUCAAAAUCCGCGAAAAUCAGUCAAAAAAGACCUCAAAAUUCCAAAAUAUAGCGAAUUAGAGAGUUGUUUGCGGGAUUCAAGAGCUCUCUUCGCGAUUGGGAUCGAGAUUUGCAUCACUGCCUGAUUCCGCUAUUGAUUUAAAGAGACCAAGCUUAGCUUUUUAGGGCUUCUAUACUUCUGCAGAUCGUCAACAAUCGUGUUACUUCUGCGGUAAUUCUUUUUCCUUCAAAGAGACCUCAUCAGCAAAUCGAGUCGAGGCCGCGCUAGGCUGCUGCUCUUCGUAAUCUCCUUCUCGGGUGAACUCGGCUGAGAAAUCGAGUGCUGGUAAUGGACCGGCAAUGUCUCCAAUGCCAAUGGGUUCGCCAGAGGGUUCAGUACUUCCGACAGAACAGCGGAUUCUUAAACUGGUUCAUCGUUGUCAGGUCGAGAGAAGAGAUGGUAAAGCUGCUUGUUCAGCAUUUGACUGAGUGUUCAUAGUCAGGUUAUAAUAACAUAAAUCCUAGAGACUUCACUGUGCAAGUUAAGAAUUUUCCACCACAAAAUCUCCCACAUAAUAUUUUGUCCAAUACUGGAGAGAGAGAAAAUAUCCCUGUACAUCGAUACUUUGAUGCGUUGGAGGGACCAGAAUUGGACACUCUACGGGUGGAGUAGAUCAAGAAAUAGAAGAUGAAGGCAAUGAAGAUGUGGACCUUACUUAAAAUGAAUUUUGAAUUGCUAUAGAUGAAUGUUCUAGGAAUCUUUUGUUGUCAACAUUUUGAAACUUACUAUCUUGUAAUGUAUUAAACUUAUGCACUUGGGGUAGAACAUUUACUUUUAUGGAUAUUAUUAGCCUGUUGGACAAGUUAUAAUAUUAAUAAUUUUAUUUUGUGAUUUA